UCAUCCAAGAAUGGAAAGUAACCGCUUCUCCAAUCUCGAUUGCUUUUAGUUGCUGUUGAUCGAGGUCGUCGAGAUGCUUCCCUUCCGUCUCUUGCCUCUCUCGCGCUCCCGCGCUUCCAGCCCUCCACCACCACAACCGCUCGCUCUCCCGCCGGCGCUCUCCACCACCACCGCUGCUCGCUCUCCAGCCGGCGACCUCCACGACUACCGUCGUGUCCUGAAGUGAAUGGCAAUUUGCGAGCGAGGGUUUUAAUCGAGGAGUCUCGAUUCGUCUCAAGCUGCAUUAUCUACGACUCUAAAUAUUGUAAGCUACCUUGAGGGUUUUCUCCCCAAAACUUCAAGAUCGGUGGUUUAAUGGAGUUGAAGUUUUAAUUGGUUGCUAAAGGUGGAUGUUACUUGUUAGAUGGAUGCUGCAGCUUCCAAUAAAAGUACAUUAAAAAAAGGAGGUCGAGUAUCUAGAGCUUGAGGAACAAGCUUUCUUGUACGUUUGGAUGCUCUGAGUCAAACAUUGUUUUACACAGUGGGCACAACAGAGCCGCAUGCAAGGCAUUGUUUGAUCGACGCUGCAUUCCUUAUUCAUUACCGAAUGCUUUGAUGCUUGGUUGAGAAGUAGGGGGAUCUUAUAAGGUCGUGCAUCUUGGAACUCUUGGAUGAGAAUGAACACCUUGUGUGCCCACAGGUAAUCUUCUAUCGCUACUUUCUACAGGAACGAGAUUGAGUUGCGUGCACCCAACAUAUGCACGAAAGAAUUUUUGAAAUCUUUCUAUAAAGUAGAGGACAUUUCAGACUUUUUCUUUUUUAAAUACUUUUUUACCCUUAUUAAAAAGUGUUUUUUUUUACUUUUAAUGGGCAUUUUGGUCAUUGCAUACCCCACAGGGGUGACUAGGUUGACUGAAUUUUCCCAGCCUACCAUUUUCUUUUUCUAGAUUUUGUAAAUUUAGCACUUUAGGUAGCUUUGAAACUGUUUUGAAGAUGAUCAAAAGCGACAUGAGUAGUUGUGGACUGCAAAUGAAAGGGAACAGAUCAAAUCUCAGUCAGCAUUCUGCUACUCGAGAAAGUGCUGAUAGUACUACUACUAACUUUUGAUUUAAGGAUCAGUAAGUAGCUCAACCAUUUUAGGUGCCCAAAAUGAACCUUCUAAUUAGUAAAAAGCAUCGAAUCCAUCUAAAUCUUGUUUGAUGGCACACGGACCGCAGCGACCACAGCUCAUCUUUCCGUUAGGGUAUAUGUGGUUUACUUCGGCGCUCUUUUCAUGAGGCAAGUCCAUUCUGGCCAAAGGUUCGUUCAUCAGAGAUAAUUAUAGGUCAGCUCGUCGUCUCGUUCACAAAGUCUGAAUGUGGUUUAGACAAGUUAACGGGUCAUGAACUUCAGAUAAUCGUAGAGCAGUCCUGUUUACUAGGCCUACGAGCAUAUUGCUGAAGCAUCUUUUGAGGAAGUGAAAGGUCUAUACAAUAUCUAAAUAUUUGUUAAAUAUGAAGCCCAAAAAAUUUGAAAAAAAAAAUCGUCUUUUUAAAAGAUUCUAAAACAAAAAUAAGGCAAACAAAAAAUGUUUUUUUAGUGUUGUUUUGGCGUCUUUGGCAUUUUUUAUUUUUAAAAGUUUUGCCGAUAUGUUUUGGAGAUUUAUGUGAGAUAAAUAACCUUGGCAUAUUAUUAGAGAAAAGCCUUUUAAAUGUCGUAAAUUGUAUUUGUGAGAAUGGGUUAAAUUGCAAAUUGUGAGAAGCAUCUUUGUCCCGGAGAGUCGUUGUCUACUUUCUCAAACUUGCCAAAAUGAGAGAAAGAGUAAUGUUUUUAUAGGGAUCGCUUCUUUUCCCAACCAUGGGUAUAUGUUUUGUGGGUAUGCCAAAUUUCUAAAAAAAUGGAAUUGUAUGUUAUAAUACUCUAUUCUGAUUUGGUCUUAAUAUAGUUCUCAUAUUAAUUAAUCAGUAUUACCUUGACAAUGUUUUGGUUGUGUAACAAAGUACACAAAAAUCCGAACUUGGACUCUAGAGCUUCAUUUGUGUUAAGGGAAUGUUUGAUGACGAAUUAUUUUAAACUCACAAAUUUUAGGUGGCUAAAGAUGGAUUGUGGUGCAUCAAGCUAAGGAUCUUAGGCUAUAUGUUAUUAUUUUAUAUUGGCAAACUUAAUGUAAGGCAGAAGAAGAAAAUUCUGAUCUUAAAUUCAUUUAUCUCGCAUCUAAAUCAUGUGGUUCCAAUUAGAUGUAAGUUUGAUUUAUCAUGUUUCCCAUUGGGGUUUCUUGAAUAAUCCCAGUUUAGACUUGGACUACAAUUAAAUUUCGUUGAAACAAAAUGAUGUAAGAUAUUGAGAUCAGCCGGCUGCAGGAUGUUACCAGAUGCAUACUUCGGGUCAUGAAUUGAGAUCUACUACCAUGCAUGUUUCAUUAUAGUGUUAGAACUCAUGUUCCACAUGAUAACCAUCAAAUUUUCAAGAGAAAAUUGAAAGAUUUAAACGUAUGCAUAUGAUGGAUCUACCGAGCACGGCGAGCAGCCAAAUUAACUGGGGAGGGAAAAAGGAAAGGGAAAUUAAGAUAACAUCCGAAGUGAUAUAAGAUUUUGGCAUGACAUAUCCUAAAACUUUAAACCCACAAUCGUUAACAAAAAGCUGAGAAUCUAAGAACAUCUAUCUGAAAGGUGUGAGGAUUUCCACGUGCUUUUGCAAUCCUUAAAUCAUAAGCCGCAUUCGCGUCUCCUUAAUUUUCCAACUUCGGUCCUUCUUAAAGGUGUAUGAGUUUGAAGUUAAUUUGAUCUUAAAUCUGCAGCUUGCCAGAACUUUGAUCUGUAGGUGAGAUCCAUGUUAAAUAAAGAACCCAAAUCUUAGAUCUUGGAUAAUCAAACGCUACUUAAAGGUUCACAAAAUCUUGGCUCCGGUUUAGUCCUUGUGUUCCUCAAGGCAGCAACACAUCUUAAUAUCAUCGUCACAAAAAAUGAGUUUCUUUUGAAAAAAAAAAACAAAGACAAAUGUUUAAGACUUUAGAAAAAUACCGUUUUUCUAAGAAACGCCAAAACAAGAAAAAUGUGUAAAAAGCGUGUUUUUUUUACGAUUUUUCCUUUUUUUCCUUUUAUUAAUUUUUUUCAUAUUUUUUAAUGCGAAACUGCUUGUUUUCAUUUUUAAUCUUUUAUUUGUUGCAGGCCUACUUAUUUUUUUAUGUUUGUGUUAUCAGUUUCUCAAUUAUUUAAUUUGUAAAUAUUUUAGUUUUAUUAUCUUUUAAAAAAUUAAUCGUAUUUCUUUUUUCAGUUUUUUCAUGCUCCCCAUAUUAUACUUACAAAAAACGUCGUCUCAUCAUUUAAAAUGUGAGAAAUUUUUUUUGUAACUAUGCUUAGCUUAACAUAGACUUAGUAUCCUGGCCUUUCUGCUGUUGACUCUUACAAAGAUUUGUUAUGUGAUUCCGGUUCCCUAAACUCUAAAUAACGAAUUUGAUUGAAUCUGUCUCUGAUUGCUAUGCUUUGGUAAAAGAUCCUUCACUGAUAUUCUCAAGUGCUUGGCUGUUAAAUAUUUUCUGGAAGCUGUUGUUCCUUAGCAUGUAUCAAUUGUAAUAGCUGGAGAUGUGUUGCUUCACUACUUAUUCAGAACCUUCACAUCAUAUGCCAUGCAAGGGCGAACAGAAAAUUCUGGUUAAGGGGCAUUAGGUAUAACUUUAAAUUUUUAAAGAAGCACCAAUAUGUAAACAAGAAAAAUUAUUCAAAAAUAUCAAAUAUAAAAAUAAAAGUUUUUUAGGGUCUGUGUGGGCAAUCUCAGUUGCCAUUUGCCAACAGCUGACUCACACUUGCCUCUGCCCCUGAUGCCAUGGUGGCUAUCCCUUAGUUAGGGGCGUUUUAUGUGUUUCCCUUUUUCCCCGAACGGCUGGGACGAAGCUUGGGCAGCUAGUAGAUUUCUUUGGGCACCUUAGGGCAGAUAUUGCUGGUUGAUACUUUGAACAAUCCUACAUUAAAUGUGGUCAUUUUUGUUGUCUUGGUGUGAAGAAUUAAUGCACCAUGCUAGGUAGAUAUUAUAAAGUUACGUCUAUGCCUGUGUGGUCGUAAUGUGCCAAGAAAGGUUCAUGUUAGUUUGAUUUUCUUGUCAACAUAUUUGAUGCAUUCUCUUUCAUUUUCUGCAGAUACAGAGUCUUAUUGGUAUAAAUAUGGAGCGCCUUUAUUACAUAUUACACACAUUCAAUGUGAUUUGGCUUGUUACCAGGAACUUUGUCAUGCUCAUGCAGCUUCUCUUAAUGCACAGCCUUCAUUAGUAGCAAAAAAAAAAAAGAAAAGUCGCUGUAGAAAAUUAACAUUCUCUGUGUAAUGGAGGUCAUCUUUAGGUUAAUAUCUGCUUUAUCAUUUGUUUUCUUAAGCCGCUUCUUCUUUUCUUGAUCUGCUUAACUUUUUUGUUUACAAAAGAAGGAUCUUUUGGAGAGGGGCUUGGUUUCAGUUUCCUUAAUCAGCUCCAUGCAGCAAGAAUGUGGGGCUUAGAGAAAGGAAGAAAAGCACUCCAUUCUGCGGGCAUGAACCGAAUGAAGAUCAUUUCCUGUUUGCAAGUAUUUGUUUUGUUUGUUGGCAGUCAUCCAUUGGAAGGUAGAACAAUCCCUUUGAGUGUUCUUGCCCAGAGAACUACGCUUUCACAGAGGACGUGGAAGACCUGCUAAUGGAAAGUCUUAUCUACAAGUUACUCAGCUGCUUUCUUGGUUUCGUGUGGCUUCCGCCCACCUUUAUGUGAAAUGUGGAAAUGGUGGUUGAUUUCAUGAUAAAUGUUCACUAACCACUAGGAACUAGGAUCUCUCUCUCUCUCUCUCCCUCCGUCGAUGCCAAGAGGCAAGUCUGCAUUAAGUUUUUUCAGCCUUCCAGGAAGAAGAGACACUCUUGUGCGGGAUUUUUCUUUAUGAUAUGUUUUGGAAGAUCUUGUUUCUCUGUCA